GAUGAACGCUGGCGGCGUGCCUAAUACAUGCAGGUCGAGCGAACGGACGAGAAGCUUGCUUCUCUGAUGUUAGCGGCGGACGGGUGAGUAACACGUGGAUAAUCUACCUAUAAGACUGGGAUAACUUCGGGAAACCGGAGCUAAUACCGGAUAAUAUUUUGAACCGCAUGGUUCAAAAGUGAAAGACGGUCUUGCUGUCACUUAUAGAUGGAUCCGCGCUGCAUUAGCUAGUUGGUAAGGUAACGGCUUACCAAGGCAACGAUGCAUAGCCGACCUGAGAGGGUGAUCGGCCACACUGGAACUGAGACACGGUCCAGACUCCUACGGGAGGCAGCAGUAGGGAAUCUUCCGCAAUGGGCGAAAGCCUGACGGAGCAACGCCGCGUGAGUGAUGAAGGUCUUCGGAUCGUAAAACUCUGUUAUUAGGGAAGAACAUAUGUGUAAGUAACUGUGCACAUCUUGACGGUACCUAAUCAGAAAGCCACGGCUAACUACGUG
rnacentral:rRNA from 1 species